AAAUGCGAUAAGUAAUGUGAAUUGCAGAAUUCCGUGAAUCAUCGAAUCUUUGAACGCACAUUGCGCCCUCUGGCAUUCCGGGGAGCAUGCCUGUCCGAGCGUCAUUACGCACCCUCAAGCCCGGCUUGUGUGAUGGGCCCUGGCGUCUCGUUCGCGAGACGGGCCCGAAAGGCAGCGGCGGCGUCGACCCGAUGAGCCCGAGCGUAUGGGGACUUUUGUCACACGUUUGCGGUGCGGACCGGCGCCUGCUUGACUUUUCUGAUUAUCCAGGUUGACCUCGGAUCAGGUAGGGAUACCCGCUGAACUUAAGC
rnacentral:misc_RNA from 1 species